CACGUGAGAUCUAGGUCCAGAACAUUGGCGCCAUCUGUGGCUCACCAUAGCCAUGAAAAAUCUUCGUGUUCUUGCUGAGUCGAGAAGUCACGUCAAUGAACUAUUGAAUCAAAAGGAAGAAGUAGCAGCAGCUGAAGUAGAUGAAGUUGUAGGCAUCUUUAAUGCUUGCCGUCUUCAUCACGAUGGCUUUGCGAACACCACCAGCGUCAUCAACUGCCUCGUGGAUGGCAACCUUUGAACGUAUAACAACGUCGUCUCCUCCAGACACUUCACCGCGAUUGUCAAUUGGCUGAAAGGGAGUGAAGAUCGGUGACAAGGCCACCAGAUGCUCGAGUUCUCUAAUCCUCGAACAUCGUUGUGGGUGACAUCCUCUCAGUCGAUCUGAAACAGCGGCGGGCAGCACUCUCUCGUAACCAAGCCCCUUUUUCGUCACAAUUCUAAAUUGCUUCAGAAACAGGGAUGCACAGCCGUGAAGCUCAACGCCUAGGGCGAGCUAAACACGAUUCAGACCCGCCCAAAUAACAAACAUAUUUCAACACACUCGAUCUUUUCUCCUGCUUUUUCUUUGGUUUUCUUUCCAUUUGAUAUUUCCUUUGAUUAUCUUCAUUCUGAAAUCAUUUUCUUCACUUUGUUGAUACGAAACAGAGAGGAACAUGGUGGACCAAGAAGAAGGUAUGGAUCAAUUAGGGGAUUUUUUCAAACGGUUUAGGUCCAGGUCGAGAGAGGAGUAUGGCAGAUGAGGGACAAUGAGCCUAUGAGUUGGAGCACACCAACUGUUCGAUGAAAUGCUUCAGCAAAACUUUGCAUCUUCGAAUGCCAUAAUGUGUCUGUCUAUUCCGUCAUCAUAAAUCAGGGCAGUAAAACCCCAUUCUACUAGCUUGUUCUUUUCAUUCCGCUUCGAAUUCGUGGUUCUCUGUUCAUGUCUAUCCCUGCCAUAUAUCUGAUGCAAUGACUGAGUAGAUUUCCUUUGAUAAUAUUGUUAUAAGUUUCAUGUGUGACAAAUGUUUGACGAAAUGCUCGACUGAAAUUUUCUGAGUGUUUUACUUCUGGUGAUGAUUCCCUUGAUCCUAAAGUGUUUUAAACCUCUAGUUUGUUGGGAAUUGAAAUGUGCUUGAGUUCUAUGAUGAGUGUUUAAAGUUUGUAGUGUUAGUAGGAUUUUCGUGAUGAAGAAUUGUUCCUAACCUCUUGUUAGAAAAUGGGCUUGUCAGGGAUACACUUAUAUUUGUGCCUUUUGUAACCAAUUGCUUAUGAUUAUGACUUGCAAUGCAUAUGACAAGGUAAAUUAUACCUAAUCUUAUACAUGUAAUAGUUUGGAACUUGGCUUGAACCACCUCUCUAAAGAAUAAGUGUUGGGAUGCUGAUUCACAAGAUAUGUGCACAAGUUGAAGAGUGCUUUGCUGUCCUUUUACGUCAGCUAGUUAACCUUCUGAACAUGCUCAGCUGAAAUUUUCGUUGCCAUUAGUACUUUACUUGGGUGUUCUAUUUGGGUGAAGAUUCUCUUGAUUUUGAAGUGUUUUAAACCUCUAGUUUGACGGGAAUUUAAUGAACUAGCACAUUGACAGCUUAUAUCAAUUUUCAAACCUGUUUUAUCUUUUUAAUUUUGCACUUCCCACUUAGCAUGCCAUGAUUCUGAACUUAUAUGUUUGUCAGCCAUUCUCAGUUGCAUGAAGUUGUAUAAAAUGUGUUGAUUUUUAUGUUUGAACUGAUUAGGCUUGAUUAGAUUCCGAAAUGGUGCAUUAUGUUUUCUUUAUGGAUCAGGUACGAUAAAUGAUCCAUAACCAGUUUGCUUCUUAAUCAGAUCACUGUCUCUGUCUCUGCACAAUCUGCAUGUUGCUUGCCUGCUUUACACCAGUUUUUGCAGGAGAUAUUAUUCUGUGUUUCAUUGUCUUGGGCUGAUGCUGUUUUCAAAUGUUUCAAUAACAAAUGACAAACAAGUUAUGGUGGUGCCCUCUGGUUUAAUUUCAUGGAUUGUGGCAGAUUCCUAAUAUGUUUUCCUGGUUUAAUUAAUGAGUUUUAUAUCAGCUUUUCUAGUUGCACAAGGAAAAAUUAGAGAACUUUGGGACCUGUUAUUUUAAAACUGCAUAUGCUAUGCCUUCUGUUCUGACCUUUUUCUUUCUUGAACCAAACAUAAAAAUCAGGUUCAGGUAGGUUGUUAUUUGUAAUCCUACUGCAUGAAUAUCCACAACAAUACAUUAGUUUUAUCCUUUGGUAUUACUAAUACCAAAUAAUAUGUGAUUACUUUAUUUGUAUACUAAAACUUCCUUUUCAAAUUGUUCUCUUAUUUUGAUGUGGAAUUGCUUAUGUGAAUUUCAAUCCCUAUCACAUGAUGUUUAUCAAAAUAGCCACUGUUAUUUGAAUCCGGAAUCCUUUUGUCAUUCUGUUUUUGGCUUGUGCUCUCAUGUACACGCCAUGCUUGAAAAGAGUUCAAUUAGUUGCUGUAUAGUUUGCUUAUAUGAUGAAAUAAAGAAUAUCAUGCUCUUAUUAAAGAAAGUAAAAGGGAAUUCCCUUGCUUUUGAUACUUCCCUCUCUUAUUUUCAAUCCUGUCAAACGGUCACCCUGUGGUUAUAUUGGUGAAGAGUUGUUAGAUUGAUGGAGUCGCUUGAGUUUUGAAGUUUUCUGUUUAAGAACACAUAAAGUAGUUGAACACUUAAAAGGAACGUACCUUAGGCUAUGUUUGAUUUGUAUACUAAAGAGAACAAAGUAACCUGUCUUGUCCUGUUCUUAUUUUUAUUCUCCCCUUUUAUAUGGAGUUAAAAUGUACUGCUUUUCACACUGUUUGGGCUGAUAUCUUUUGCAUUUUCAGCAUACACCAACAUGGUACAUAAUCCACAUAUUUGAUUUUGUCUUAUGCCCUUACCUUUCAUCUUAAUCUUUGAUAUGAAUCAAUAUUGUAUUUGUAGCAAUUUGCUAGUUCCUUCAUAUUUUUGUUGAACUCUAUAGGAGUCUAUCCCGUUGAGCUGUCAAAUAAAUACAUGAACCGAUACAUGAUCAGAUAUUAAGAUACUUUUCCAACAUUAAAAUUUUCAUUCUCCUCUUUCUAACAUGCUGGUUAUAUACUUCAAUUGUGACCACAUGCUUGUUCAUAGCUAGACAUGAAUAUAUCCUCAUAGGGCUGGACCCUUUUCUUUCAAGAAAGAAAUUUUCUUUAAGUAGCUUUCUGAAACCUAUUAUGGAUAUUGCACUGCCUACUUAACUAAGUUAAUUCACUACGCCAUUUAUUUCUUGGUUUUACUCAUGUUAUCAGCCUUGGCCUUCACAUACCAUGCUAUUGCAUCUAUGUGCUUGAAUGAGUAUUGUUCUGAAGAAUAGGGUUUCUUUAAGUAUUUGGUUUCUCCUUAUUUUUCCUUGAGGUAAAUUUUCAGGGAUUAAUGCACAUAGUAAAGAAGGAGAUGGUGAUAGUAAAGGCAAAGAAUUACCAGUUGUGCUUAUGUGGAACUACGAAUGAGAAGUCUAAAGAAAGACAAUAUCAAAAAGCAGAUCACAUAAAAACAGAAACUGAGGCUACAAGCCAGGAGAAACUCAAAAUAAUGCUAUACGCUUCAACGUUCUAUGACUUCAAAAAGGAAAGAGAUAUCAGAUAGAAGAAGAGUCUUGUUUUUUACAAAACAGUUCUGCAAAGAUCACAUGAAGACAAGUUUGCUUCAGCAAAAGGCGCGUUGACCAAUAAGGAAAAGUACAAGCCGUCAACAUCAAAUUGCCAAAUUGUCUCAUGUCUGAAAAGUAGCCCAAAGUCUAUCACCACCUACUAGCUGACAAAUAUUAUCUUUUUAGCUUAAGGAUAGACUUGCUUCUGAAGCAACAUUUAAUGAAGCUACCAACCAAGCCUUUUGAAUCAACGACUCGAUCUCAUUUUACAACGGCUAUCUCAACGGUUAGAUAUUGUCUCACAACGGCUACAACACUAGCAAGCAAGUAUUUAAGACACUCUUGAAGAUCUGAAGACGAGAGAAUCAAUUUCAAAGAAAAACAAGCAUUCAACAUUCAUUCAAAACUUCUCAACAACAUUCAAAGCUCAAGCAGAAAUUCCUAAGUGUCAAACACAAGCCAUUAAAUUCUGCAAGUGAAAGAGAAAACCUCGUACCUUAAAAGAGUCAUAUCUCUUUAUUAUCUUUACACUUUUGUUAGAACUCAUUAGUGAUCCAAAGUCAAAUCUGAACCCAAAACACUUUGAGUUCCAGUGCCAUAAAUUCUCUAGCACUACUCUUGAAAGAAGAGAAAUCUUGUAGAGUGAUUCAAAUCUUUGUAAGAUUUUGGAGAAGUCCUGAACAAUACUUAUAGGAGUCCUGUAGAAUACUUGGAGAAGUCCUUGAUAAUACUUGGAGAAGUCCUGUCAAAUACUUGUAUUGGAGAAGUCAUUGAUACUUGCUAGUGAAAAUCUUGGUGGUGGCCAAGUACUGGACGUAGCCCAAUCAUUUAGGGUGAACCAGUAUAAAUCUCUGUGUGC